ensembl:lncRNA
GCCGUCACAAGGGCAUUUCAAGCACAUAGCAGGGAAAGGGUUUGGAGAGAGAAGUAAAGGAAGAGUGAGAGAGAGAUGAGAGAGAGAGAGGGCAGGAGAUUGUGGGCGAUAGGCUACAUCCACAACAGAAGAUGGAGAGGGAAAAGGUCAAACAUGGUUGGAGGACUGUAGCGGAUCUUGGUCGUAUUUCAGAGUCAUGGGGGGUGACAGUCUAAAGAAUGAUUCUUCUUAACUGGAAGGGACAUACACCAUCCAGCUCUUCUUUUAGCCACUGGCUUAAGUACUAUAUAGACCUCACUCUCUGGCCUGUGUGCUCAAGGAUUUAGAUAAAGGCACACAUGGUCACUGGGACAUGGUAUGCAGAUAACUGGCCUCUGGAAAGCCCCCUGAAAGUUCGAGUCCUGCCUCCUAAAUUGAUCUGUUUGUAACAGAACUAUGUAACCAAUGUAUUGUAUUUCAUUUUCAAAAUGCACUGCACCACUGUCUGUUUUAGUUGUCUUGUAAUGUGUGUGUUAUGAUCACUAGAAUUAAUCAGACAAAAACUGGAAGAACACAUGCUGAUACAGGAAGGUACAGAUAAGAACUGUUCAUUUUCAGUCAGUGUUGCACAAGGUUUUUAAACGUUUCGCUCUGUUGUCAG